rnacentral:lncRNA from 1 species
AAAAAAAACGACAGGUUUAGUCACAAAUUUUUUGUUCUUUGUCCAGCUUCUUGUCAUCCUGAUUUUAAAGAAAAGCACGGGACUGGGAACAAGCAUCCCCGCCGGCCGCGCCGCCCCGGGGCCCGCGGCCUCCACCAGGCUUCCCGCUUCCCGGCCGCGCGGGUGAGCGCAGAACUGCCGCGUCCGGGACUCGGCGCACCCCCGGCAGGCCAGCGCCGCCGCCUCGACGUCUGCAGGCCCGUCGGUCCCUCCCAGCCCCGGGCACGCAGGGAACCUAGGCGCUCGAGCCGGAGGCGACGCUGCGAAAAACGCGCGAGUCGUACCCGCAGGCAGGAGCCGCCCUUCCACUCCCGCGCCGACACGCGGGCGCCCCCCUCUCGGCGCGGCGCGGCCGGCGGGAGCCCCGUCCCGCACGCCGGCUCCCCGCCGCCCGGCCCGGCGGGCCCUCCCGCGGCCCCGCUCAGCCACCACGACGGGCUCCGGCGGGCGCGGCGAGAGGCGGCCUCGGCCUGGGCCCCCGCCGGGGAGGAGGGCUGCGUCGGCUCCAAGGCCCGGGAAACUCCGCAGGCACCGCGCCGCGGACCGACAGCGGCCGGGGCGCUCCGCCCUCCACUCCGGCCCUCACGGGCUAACUCUACCACGUCAGGGAACCGCCGACAGUCCGCAGCGGAGCGCCGGCCGGGACCGCGGCCCCUCAGAGCAAACAAAGCGCCUCCACACGCGGCCCGGGACCGCAGGCCCGAGCGGAGCCACGAGGCGGCGGCGGGACGCCGGGACAGCGCUCGAGGGCCAGCAGACGCCGCGCUCGGCCGCAGGCCCCGCUCGUCUCCCCGGCGCCCCGAGGCGAACCCGGGGCCCGCGGGCGGGGGAGGCGGCGAGGGGGAGGGAACGGGGAGGGGAGCAGGGGAGGAGCGCGCGUGCGCGGAGAGAGCGUGCGGGAGCGCGCAGCGUGGAGGGGGUCCGGCCGGCGGUGGGGGAGGGGCGGGGAGGGCGGCGCGCACGCGCACGGGGGCCGCACGGACCCGGGCCCGAGCCCGGUUUGCGCCGCGCGCGCCCCGCGCCUGCAGCCCACCCCGCCCCCACCUUUUCGGCCCGCGGGGCCUCGAAAGCCUGAGGGUCGCCGACAGAGAAACGCGUAAAUAA